UACGUAGGGUGCAAGCGUUUGUCCGGAAUUAUUGGGCGUAAAGCGCACGUAGGCGGCAUUGCAAGUCGGAUGUGAAAUCCCUCGGCUUAACCAAGGAAGUGCAUCCGAAACUGCAGUGCUUUGAGUACUUAAGAGGAUCGCGGAAUUCCCGGUGUAGAGGUGAAAUUCGUAGAUAUCGGGAGGAACACCAGUGGCGAAGGCGGCGAUCUGGGAAGAUACUGACGCUGAGGUGCGAAAGCGUGGGGAGCAAACAGG
rnacentral:rRNA from 1 species